GAUGAGAACGUAGCGAAAUGCGAUAAGUAAUGUGAAUUGCAGAAUUCAGUGAAUCAUCGAAUCUUUGAACGCACAUUGCGCCCGCCAGUAUUCUGGCGGGCAUGCCUGUUCGAGCGUCAUUUCAACCAUCAAGCCCCAGGCUUGUGUUGGGGACCUGCGGCUGCCGCAGGCCCUGAAAACCAGUGGCGGGCUCGCUAGUCACACCGAGCGUAGUAGCAUACACAUCGCUCAGGGCGUGCUGCGGGUUCCGGCCGUUAAACCCCUUUUUUACCCAAGGUUGACCUCGGAUCAGGUAGGAAGACCCGCUGAACUUAAGCAUAUCAAUAAGCGGAGGA
rnacentral:misc_RNA from 1 species